UGUUUUGUCUGGCAGGGGAGACACCAUGAUUGCAAAAGUGGUUUUCCCAGGGCGAGGCUGAUCCAUUGCACUGCGGAGCUGCUGACUCCAGUGACUUCCCCACGUGGGGAAACUCAACUGCAUAAUUUGUUUUGGUGGGGGAUUGCAUUCGCACUUUCCAC
rnacentral:snRNA from 1 species